UGCCUGUACCAUAACCGACACAGGUGGGUAAGUAGAGUAUACUAAGGGGCGCGAGAUAACUCUCUCUAAGGAACUCGGCAAAAUAACUCCGUAACUUCGGGAGAAGGAGUGCCUUAUUCGUAAGGUUGCAAUAUCAAGAUCCAAGCAACUGUUUAUCAAAAACACAGGUCUCCGCUAAGUCGUAAGACGAUGUAUGGGGGCUGACGCCUGCCCAGUGCCAGAAGGUUAAAGAAGUCGGUUAGCAAUAGCAAAGCUGGUAACUGAAGCCCUGGUGAACGGCGGCCGUAACUAUAACGGUCCUAAGGUAGCGAAAUUCCUUGUCGGGUAAGUUCCGACCCGCACGAAAGGCGUAAUGAUUUGGAUGCUGUCUCGGAGAGGGGCUCGGUGAAAUAGACUUGUCUGUGAAGAUGCGGACUACCUGCACCAGGACAGAAAGACCCUAUGAAGCUUUACAGUAACUUGAAAUUGAAAUUGGACUUUAUUCGCGCAGUAUAGGUGGGAGGCGUUGAUUAUAAUCUUGUGGGAUUAUUGGAGCCAUCAGUGAGAUACCACUCUUGUAAUGUUAGAUUUCUAACUUUGAAUCAUUAUCUGGUCAAAGGACAGUUUCAGGCGGGCAGUUUGACUGGGGCGGUCGCCUCCUAAACGGUAACGGAGGCGUACAAAGGUUUCCUCUGAACGGUUAGAAAUCGUAUCUAGAGUGUAAAGGCAUAAGGAAGCUUGACUGUGAGACCUACAAGUCGAGCAGGGACGAAAGUCGGUCUUAGUGAUCUGACGGUACUGAGUGGAAAGGCCGUCACUCAACGGAUAAAAGUUACUCUAGGAUAACAGGCUGAUCUCCCCCAAGAGUUCACAUCGACGGGGAGGUUUGGCACCUCGAUGUCGGCUCAUCGCAUCCUGGGGCGGUAGUACGUCCCAAGGGUUGGGCUGUUCGCCCAUGAAAGCGGUACGCGAGCUGGGUUCAGAACGUCGUGAGACAGUUCGGUCCAUAUCCGGUGUAGGCGCUAGAAUAUUGAGAGGAGCCUUCUUUAGUACGAGAGGACCGAGAAGGACAUACCUCUGGUGUACCAGUUAUCGUGCCAACGGUAAACGCUGGGUAGCUAUGUAUGGAGUGGAUAACCGCUGAAAGCAUCUAAGUGGGAGGCCCACCUCAAGAUAAGUAUUCUCAUCACGUAAGUGAGUAAGGUCACGGUAAGACUAACCGUUUGAUAGGCAUUAAGUGUAAGUACAGUAAUGUAUGUGCUGAGAUGUCCUAAUAGACCGAGGAC
rnacentral:rRNA from 1 species